AAACAGAUUCCUGAAGGAAUGGAAGUGUUGGUUUGUGGCAGAUUCACUGUGCCUCAGUUUCCCAUGUGAGGCUCUUGGUGGGACCUUUCCAGAGGAGUGAGGCAAGGAAGAAUGUGGAAGGAACGUCCCAUGACUAAAUCAAUGAAUCUCACCCAAACUAAUCUGAAAACAAGAGAUACAACUGUUUUCACAGCUGGGAACAAGAAGUCUCUGUCCUCAGAUCUGGGGCAGGGACUGUGCAGAGAUUAACAAAAGGACUUGUCCAGCCUUCCCAGCAGAUUGAAUUGGAACAGGACACUCUUCUCCUACUUCUUAGGUUACUCCUGUACCUGAUGACUCCCACUUUGCAAAUUGCUCACUAAUCCACAGUGGGUUCUAAACAGAAGCAAUCAAAGUUUAGGACUACUCAUCCUGAGUUGAAAGAAAUGAUGUACACUAAGUGCAUGCCUCAUAUGAGAAGUGGGCAAAUUGCUUAAGAGGAGAAGUCUAAAUCCCACCAUGGCUACUAGAAUCCCUCAACCUUCUGAGAAGUACCAAGGAGUUGUAAGUGAGGAAUAAUUGAUUUGACAUGCUUAAUCUAUUCCUUUUGCAUGGAUAUGUGUGAGCAUGUGGCAGUUUCCCCACAUCAACCAUCAAUUGAGGAAAGUUCACCUACCACAAGUCCAGUGAGAAAAAGCUUGUCUGGGCAUGAUAACAGCACAGAAACCUUUUACAUGAUCUACAAAGAACUGACUGAUGAAGAAGAGCUCUCAGCUGUGGAAGAAAACCAUGUCUUGCAGCUCUGUUUUUAGAUGUGCAAGCAGCCUCUAGAGAAGCUGGAGAAGUUUGCAGCUUCUAAAGUGGAUCUAUGUAAAGUAUUGCACUUUGAGACAAAGUGAAAGAAAAAGCAGAGAUGAUUGUUUAUAAUCACUAUCCUCACACCCUCAACUUCAGUUUCACACUCAGAAAUGGAUGUUAAGUCUUUUAAUAUUAAGGGAAGUUUCCUAAGUGGAUAUGGGAGGAGAAGAAACAGAACAGUUGCACUGCAAACUCUCUCUAUGUGCUCUCCUCUGAGUAUUCCCACAAGAUCAACACAAGCUGUGAACACUAAACUCUGUGUUUUUAAAAAUGCAAAAUCAGGAGAAUUGAGCCUGAAGCCAACCUUUGGAUCUGGAAACCACUGUAAUUUGGGGAAGACUGAAUCGGUAUCUGAACACUGUGGCUCAACCUCUUCCUAAAAUAUCACAGUUGACCUCCAUCUGCCCUCAGUGUGUCCUCUUCUCAGAUGACUGUGACUCCUCUGCUUGCUGUGGCAAACUGCUCCAGAACAAGACUGCACCAGAAGACUGUGAGACAGCAAAAAGUAGUUGAAGCCCUUUCUAACGUGAUAUCCUGCAGUAUGCUUUUUUAUUAGAGCUUGAAGGAGUUUUAAGUGAAUGACUGUUAUUAUGUCAUUAUGUCUUAUCUCUUGAAUAAAACCACAAUAAGAAUAACUGCAAAUUUCAGUGAUAUUUAUUAGCAUUGUACAAAAAUUGUAAUUUUAAAAUUAGCACCUUUACUUCUAUGAUGUAUCAUCAAGAUCUGUUGUCAGUCGCUGCCUACUGUAGUGAUUAAAUAAACAAAUAUUUCACCAUGAUUUACACCUUUUCCAAA